CACGCCACAAGGUUUGAGAGAAAACUGUAAAAGAAAAGUCCUUCUAUUCUGGAAGUCGUCUGCCUUCUUGCCACUGUGUGAAUAUGAAUUUUCUGAUGAAAGCGGUGAAGCUGUUGCUUUCUGUUGAUCUCUGUUACUCAGUGUUUUCCAAGCUUGGGAACAGAUGGUGCACCACCUGACUUUGAACAGUCUAAUGUAAGAUUCAUUGUGCUUCACAGGAAAUCAAAGAUCAAGCAACAUUGCAGAAGGUGAAGCAGCACCUCGGUAACCAGCCACACAGUAUGAUACAGUCAUCAUGGUGAAAAGAGAAAGUAAGAGAGAAAAAGGAAUCAAAAAGGAGAGUGUGAAAGAACUGGUUGACAGAAAUUGGAGCUAACAGUGGGAACUCACCCCGCUCCCUGGAUUCAAACUGCCGACCUUUUGGUCAGCAAGUUCAACAGCUCAGCAGUUUAACCUACUGCGCCACCAAGAGCUCAGCGUACUUUCUACACCUAACCAAAAGGUAAUUUAUUGUGUGAGCAACAUUGACUCCGAGGUGGUUCACACAAAUCAUUUCCCUUAAACAAACACCAUUUGUUGCUAAUGACGGGGCAAAGCAAACUUCAGGAGCAUUUAUGAACAGUAAUGUCUCUCUCUUGCUGCACACAUUUGCAAACUGAUCUCUGUUAUUUGCAGAUGAAUUAACGAUGGCUUGAAAAAAUCAUUAAAGCCAUCUGCUUGGAUGAGAAAGAAGGAGAAAGAGAAAACCUGCUGUGAUCAUUUCAUUUACUGUAGACCGGUUACGUUUUUUUUCCCUUUUAGCAUCAUUUCCCCUAAAUUUGACAAUGAUGUUUUAAAAAAUGAGCAGCAUUAUCAGACCUCGUUAUGCCUCCUUGGAAAUGCAUUUGCGGAGAAAACAGCUUAUACAGGUAGCUUGAAGUAUUUGUUCUGCUGGCCUCUGUCAAGGGAAGAAGCCCAUUACAGUUUCAACAAUUAAAAUCGGUAGUUACAUCAGACCCAAAAUCUUAAGCUCUGCAGCGAAGCUUUAAUCAUCCCUGAAAUUAUAUGAUCUAAUCAGCAUAAAAGUGUAUCAUCAGUGUUUCCUCAAAUUAGUUCCUUUGCUCUAGUAGAGUAUAUUUUAAAGAGUGUUACACCCAGCUGCUAUGUGACAAAUUUAAAGUUUUUUUCAAAGGCUAUAUAAAUGUAUGCUAAAUGAAAUUGAAGUUAUAAAAGCUGAACUUCCAAGAUCCUUAUAUCCUGUUGGAUUAUUAUCGUGAUCCUGUGAUCUUUUGCUCAUGGGAGAUCAAGGUCAAGGACACAGAUUUCUCCAUAGUUUCCCCUUUUAUCUGAACAAAAAAGUUGAAUCAGGUGUUCAAAGGGGUGUUUGUACACCGAUAUACCACCCCCACAAGAUGUAUCUAUUAAAGGAAAUGCAGAAAGCCAUAAGAUAUGAAUAGGAAUGUACAGCUGGACUGCAGCUCUCAUUAGUCUUGGCUAGCAUGGCCAAAGAUCAAGGAUAAGGAGAUUUAUUAUUUAUUUAUUUACAGUAUUUAUAUUUCGCCCUUCUCACCCCGAAGGGGACUCAGGGCGGAUUACAAUGAACACAUAUAUGGCAAACAUUCAGUGCCAACAGACAAACAACAUAUAUAGACAGACACAGAGGCAUUUAACAUUUUAUUUUCCAGCUUCACGAUUCCGGCCACAGGAGGAGCUGUUGCUUUCACUGUCCACUACUGGCUGUACUUCCUCAUUCCUUUCCUCGUGUUUUGCUGGCAGUUUUUAUGAUGUUGUAAAUUAGUUAAAUUAGCCUCCCGCAUAAAGCGUACCUAAAUUUCCCUACUUGACAGAUGCAACAGUCUUUUGGGGCUGCAUAAGUCAACAGCAAGCCGGGCUAUUUUAUGGUCGGGGGCUUAACCCGACCCGGGCUUCGAACUCAUGACCUAUCGGUCAGUAGUGAUUUACUGCAGCUGGUUACUAGCCAGCUGCGCCACAGCCCGGCUCUGCAAGACAAAAACAUUUGGGAAGUCACACGCUCCCCAUCCCUGAUAUACACAAAUUUCUUGGGACAUCUCAGUAUUCGACACUGCUAAGAUGUAGCUCAUGGCAAAUGUCCAGCUUCUGGCCUCCACAAGUGAACUAAAUAGCUAAAGUUUGAACCCAAAUAGCUGUGAUGCAGGAGGCAAAAAAGCCAGUGUCGUUCUGGGCUGCAUCAAUAGGAGUAUAAUGUCUAGAUUGAGGGAAAUUAUACUCCUACUCUAUUCUGCUUUGACCAGACCUCACCUGGAAAACUGUGUCCAAUUUCGGGCCCCAUAAUUAAAAAUAUAUACUGUCAAGUUGGAAUGUGUCCAGAGGAGGGUGACAAAACUGUAACAGAUCUAGUGGUAUC